rnacentral:lncRNA from 1 species
AAAUUAGGAUCCUGGAGAAAAGGAAGGGACGACAUGAAACAGGAUGGAUCGGGCGAUUAAUUAGCUAGACUAGAUUGAGAUGGCGCUGGUGACGCGCGGGUACACGACGGUGGCCGGGUGCGCCAUGAUGCGGCGUCCCUUGCGGUGGCGGAACAGGUACACUGCUGCCCCCAGCGGCCACUCGAUGACCCCGGCCACCACGAACGCCGCGAACCCCAGCGUCGGUCCGACCACCUUGCACCGGCACGGGUUGCUC